rnacentral:rRNA from 1 species
UACAGAGGCCCCAAGCAUUAUCCGGAAUCACUGGGCGUAAAGGGUGUGUAGGCGGUUGUGUUAGUCUUUUGUUAAAGUUUCUUCGGCUUAACCGAGGAAAUGCAGGAGAAACGGCACGACUUAGGAGGUUGCGAGAGGUAAAGGGAACUCAUAGUGUAGGGGUGAAAUCCGUUGAUAUUAUGGGGAACACCAAAUGCGAAGGCACUUUACUGGCGCACACCUGACGCUGAGACACGAAAGCGUGGGAAUCGAACGGG